rnacentral:tmRNA from 1 species
GGGGGCGACAGGUUUCGACAGCAUGACGGAAGGUCCAGAAGCGCGAGCCGAGGAUGGGGAAUCCUCGUUAAUCCGGCUCCAAAACAAUAAUUGCCAACGAAGAUUUCGCACUGGCUGCUUAACUAAAGCAACCACGCUCCCCGGGGGCUCGGCCGUUGGAACCCGGAAGGGCGUCACAAAGACGGCUGGAAUCGCUGUAACGCCAUCUGACAGCGGUUUGAGACUCUAGGGAUGGAUGGGCAGUUCAGAUUUUGUCGAUGGAAGCUGAACCGCCGAAAUGAAAACACCGACUACGCUCGUAGUGCGUCUCGAUUGUCCCUUGUUGGACCGGAGUUCGAUUCUCCGCGCCUCCACCA